CAUGGGAGCCGUGCUGCUUGGAGAGCAAAGCACCAUGGGAGUUAUGGCCUCCGUGCCGCAAGGCACCAUGGGAGUCCUGCACCUUCAGCCCCGAAGCAUCAUGGGAGCCGUGCUGCUCAGACUGCAAGGCAUCAUGGGAGUCAUGACUGCUGUGCCGCAAGGCAUCGUGGGAGCCAUGGCUUCCAUCCUGCAAGGCAUCAUGGGAGCCAGGUCCUCCACGCUGCAAAGCAUCGUGGGAGCCAUGCGGCUUCGUCCCCAAACCGUCACGGCAGCCAGGGCGUCCGUGUUGCAAAGCAUCAUGGGAACCGUGGCUGCUGCACUGCAAGGCAUCAUGGGAGUUGUGCUUCUCAGAGUGCAAGGCAUCAUGGGAGUCAUGGCCUCCACACUGCAAGGCAUCAUGGGAGUCAUGGCCUCCACACUGCAAGGCAUCAUGGGAGUCAUGCGCUUUUGGCCCCAAACUGUCAUGGCAGCCAGCGCUUCCACGCCGCAAGGCAUUGUGGGAGGCAUGGCUGCUGUGCUGCAAGGCCUCAUGGGAGUCACGGUCUCCCUGCUGCAAAGCAUUGUGGGAGUCAUGUGACUUCGGGCUCAAACCGCCACAGCAGUUGGCUCCUCUGCGCUGCAAAGCAUCAUGGGAGUCAUGGCCGCUAGGCUGCAAGGCAGCAUGGGAGCGCUGCAUCCUCAGCCGCAAGGCAUCAUGGGAGCCACAGCCUGCACAGCACAAGGCACCAUGGGAAGGGCGUGGCUUGGGCCCCAAAGCACCAUGGGAGCCACACUGCCUGCACUGCAAAGCAUCAUGGGUGCUGUGGCAGCCAUGUUGUAAAGCCACAGGGGAGCUCCGCUUCUUGGGCUGCAAAGCAUCAUGGGAGCUGCGGCCCUGGGGCCGCAGAGCAUCAUGGGAGCUGUCCCUCGGGGGCCGCAAAGCAUCAUGGGAGCCACAGCCCUCUGCGGCACCCUCCCCUUGCAAGGCAUCAUGGGAGUUGUGGUCCCAGGGUCGCCCAGCAUCAUGGGAGUCACAGCUGCAGGGCCGCAAGGCAUCAUGGGAGCUGUCCCUCGGGGGCCGCACGGCAUCAUGGGAGCCGCGUGCGCCCAGGUACAUCUUUGGCCGCAAAGCAUCAUGGGAGGCGUGCUCCCCUGGGCGCGCCGCUCGCCGCAAGGCAUCAUGGGAGCCGCAUCUCUCCAGAGGAGACUCGCGCCGCAAAGCAUCAUGGGAGUCGUGGCUCUCCAAGGACGUCAGGUGGCACAAAGCAUCAUGGGAGCCGCGCUCACCGUGGGAGGGCUCACGCCGCAAAGCAUCGUGGGAGUCGUGUCUCUCCAGGGAAGACUCUUGCUGCAAAGCAUCAUGGGACUCACGCUUGCCACAGGACAGCUUGCGCCGCAAAACAUCAUGGGAGUUGGGCCUCUCCAAAGGCAUCAUGUGCCGCAAAGCAUCAUGGGAGCCGCAUCUCUCCAGGGAGGACUCUCGCCGCAAAGCAUCAUGGGAGCCACGCUCGCUGCGCAACAGCUCAUGGCGCAAAGCAUCAUGGGAGUUGCAUCUCUCCAGGGAGGACUCUUGCCGCAAAGCAUCAUGGGAGCUGUGCUCGCCAUGUGACAGCUCAUGGCACAAAGCAUCAUGGGAGCCACGUCUCUCCAGGGAGGACUCUCGCCGCAAGGCAUCGUGGGACGCCCCGCGCCGCAAGGCAUCGUGGGAGCUGGGUGGGGCCGCGCCAGGGGGCGGGGCCGCACCAGGCCCCGCCCCCCCGGCGGCCUCCAUCUUCC
ensembl:lncRNA